rnacentral:rRNA from 1 species
ACGCUAGCUACAGGCUUAACACAUGCAAGUCGAGGGCAGCGGGUUGAAAGCUUGCUUUCAAUGCCGGCGACCGGCGCACGGGUGCGUAACGCGUAUCAAACCUGCCUCAUACUCGGGGAUAGCCUUGCGAAAGUAAGAUUAAUACCCGAUGUUAUUAGUUCACCGCAUGGUGGAUUAAUCAAAGAUUUAUCGGUAUGAGAUGGUGAUGCGUCCGAUUAGGUAGUAGGCGGGGUAACGGCCCACCUAGCCUUCGAUCGGUAGGGGUUCUGAGAGGAAGGUCCCCCACACUGGAACUGAGACACGGUCCAGACUCCUACGGGAGGCAGCAGUGAGGAAUAUUGGUCAAUGGGCGAGAGCAUGAACCAGCCAAGUAGCGUGCAGGAUGACGGCCCUCCGGGUUGUAAACUGCUUUUAGUUGGGAAUAAAAAAAGGGACUUGUCCCUUCUUGUAUGUACCUUCAGAAAAAGGACCGGCUAAUUCCGUGCCAGCAGCCGCGGUAAUACGGAAGGUCCGGGCGUUAUCCGGAUUUACUGGGUUUAAAGGGAGCGUAGGCGGAUUGUUAAGUCAGCGGUUAAAGGGUGUGGCUCAACCAUGCAUUGCCGUUGAAACUGGCGAUCUUGAGUGCAGACAGGGAUGCCGGAAUUCGUGGUGUAGCGGUGAAAUGCUUAGAUAUCACGAAGAACUCCGAUCGCGAAGGCAGGUGUCCGGGCUGCAACUGACGCUGAGGCUCGAAAGUGUGGGUAUCAAACAGGAUUAGAUACCCUGGUAGUCCACACAGUAAACGAUGUAUACUCGCGGUUUGCGAUAGACAGUAAGCCGCCAAGCGAAAGCAUUAAGUAUACCACCUGGGGAGUACGCCGGCAACGGUGAAACUCAAAGGAAUUGACGGGGGCCCGCACAAGCGGAGGA